rnacentral:rRNA from 1 species
CCUACGGGGGGCUGCAGUGGGGAAUAUUGGACAAUGGGCGAAAGCCUGAUCCAGCCAUGCCGCGUGUGUGAAGAAGGCCUUCGGGUUGUAAAGCACUUUCAGUGGGGAAGAAAGCCUUGGGGCUAAUACCCUCGAGGAAGGACAUCACCCACAGAAGAAGCACCGGCUAACUCCGUGCCAGCAGCCGCGGUAAUACGGAGGGUGCGAGCGUUAAUCGGAAUUACUGGGCGGAAAGCGCGCGUAGGCGGUCUGAUAAGCCGGUUGUGAAAGCCCCGGGCUCAACCUGGGAACGGCAUCCGGAACUGUCAGGCUAGAGUGCAGGAGAGGAAGGUAGAAUUCCCGGUGUAGCAGUGAAAUGCGUAGAGAUCGGGAGGAAUACCAGUGGCGAAGGCGGCCUUCUGGACUGACACUGACGCUGAGGUGCGAAAGCGUGGGUAGCAAACAGGAUUAGAUACCCGAGUAGUC